GAUGAACGCUAGCGGCAGGCUUAACACAUGCAAGUCGAGGGGCAGCAUUCCAGCAAUGGAGAUGGCGACCGGCAAACGGGUGCGGAACACGUACGCAACAUACCCUUCACUGGGGAUAGCCCUCUGAAAGGAGAUUAACACCCCAUAAUAUAAAUAGAGUGGCAUCACUUGAUUAAUUAAAAAUUUAAUUGGUGAGGGAGUUGGCGUGCGUCCUAUUAGCUAGUUGGAGCGGUAAUGGCCUACCAAGGCGACGAUAGGUAGCUGUGUGAGAGCACGACCAGCCACACUGGAAC
rnacentral:rRNA from 1 species